CUAUUGAGACUGCCAGCAACAAGCUGGAGGAAGGUGGGGAUGACGUCAAAUCAUCAUGCCCUUUAUGACCUGGGCUACAAACGUACUACAAUGGCCAGAUACAAAGAGAUGCGAAGCCGCGAGGUGGAGCGAACCUCAUAAAAAUGGUCUCAGUUCGGAUUGGAGUCUGCAACUCGACUCCAUGAAGUCGGAAUCGCUAGUAAUCGCGGGUCAGCAGACCGCGGUGAAUACGUUCCCGGGUUU
rnacentral:rRNA from 1 species